rnacentral:misc_RNA from 1 species
AACCUAGCACACCUGCGGUGUGUACCUGCGGAGGGAUCAUUACAGAGUUGCAAAACUCCCUAAACCAUUGUGAACGUUACCUAAACCGUUGCUUCGGCGGGCGGCCCGGGUCCUUCCCGGCGCCCCUCGGCCCUCGCGGGCGCCCGCCGGAGGUAAACCAAACUAUUGCAUUGUAUGGCCUCUCUGAGUCUUCUGUACUGAAUAAGUCAAAACUUUUAGCAAUGGAUCUCAGAUCGGAAG